rnacentral:rRNA from 1 species
UGGGGAAUUUUGCACAAUGGGGGGAACCUUGAUGCAGCGACGCCGCGUGAGGGAUGGAGGCCUUCGGGUUGUGAACCUCUUUCGCUCGUGUGCAAGCCGCUAUUUGGGUAGUGGUGAGUGUAGCGGGUAAAGAAGCGCCGGCUAACUACGUGCCAGCAGCCGCGGUAAUACGUAGGGCGCGAGCGUUGUCCGGAUUUAUUGGGCGUAAAGGGCUUGUAGGCGGUUUGUCGCGCCUGUCGUGUAAUCCUCUGGCUUAACUGGGGGUGUGCGGUGGGUACGGGCAAGCUUGAGUGCGGUAGGGGAGAUUGGAAUUCCUGGUGUAGCGGUGGAAUGCGCAGAUAUCAGGAGGAACACCGGUGGCGAAGGCGGGUCUCUGGGCCGUUACUGACGCUGAGGAGCGAAAGCGUGGGGAGCGAACAGG